rnacentral:rRNA from 1 species
GACGGAGGGUGCAAGCGUUAUUCGGAAUCAUUGGGCGUAAAGAGUGUGUAGGCGGCCGGUUAAGUCAGGUGUGAAAGCCCGGGGCUCAACCUCGGAAGUGCACUUGAAACUGGUCGGCUUGAGUUCGGGAGAGGGAAGCGGAAUUCCUGGUGUAGAGGUGAAAUUCGUAGAUAUCAGGAGGAACAUCGGUGGCGAAGGCGGCUUCCUGGACCGAAACUGACGCUGAGACACGAAAGCGUGGGGAGCAAACAGG